CGGCGCUCUGGUUUGAAUACGCCCCAACAAAGUCAUGUGCUGGAAGCCUCGUCACCAAGGCAAUGGUGUUGGAAGAACAUGGGGAUACAAAAGCCAUAUUGAACCUGUGAGGACAAAAGCCACACACUAUCAAUGACUGCGCGAUAACAGUAAGAGUCUGGAACUGCGGUGACCUCAUGAACUGAUGCUCUUUCUCUUGACAGACAGCACACAACAAUAGCCUUGGUUAAGAAGAGGAAGGAGGAAGAGCGGAGGACCGCGGAGGAGCACCGGGCGGAUGGAGAAAUGUAAUUGCUGUAAAAAAGAGUGCAUGAUUGGCGACACAGAAGUUUCCAGGACAGAAGCGAAGGGUGGGAUAUUGGGGAAAGAUGGGGCUUGCUUGCAUGAAGCCUAAUAUAAAGAGGUGCUGGUAUAAAUGGAA